UACGGAGGGGGCGAGCGUUGUCCGAAGUUACUGGGCGUAAAGGGCGCGUAGGCGGGCCGCUAAGUCUGUCGUGAAAGCCUGGUGCUUAACACCAGAGGGUCGGUGGAGACUGGCGGUCUUGAAGGUGCUAGGGAGAAAUGGAAUUGCCGGUGUAGCGGUGAAAUGCGUAGAGAUCGGCAGGAACCCCGGUGGCGAAGGCGGUUUCUUGGAGCACUCUUGACGCUGAGGCGCGAAAGCUGGGGGAGCGAACGGG
rnacentral:rRNA from 1 species